AUGCCAAGUAUGUUACAUGCUUUCAUAUUAUUUUUAUGAAUUGCUUAGAAAAAAUGGCAAGUUGCAUUAUAUAUGGUCUACAUGUUCAAGUCAAAGCCCACAUGAUCAGGGAUUCAAAUUUACAUCUAGUCACUUUCACUGAAUCAUUGAAUAGGAUGCAGCAUGAGCCACGUGUGUGGUGAGACCUCUAUAAAAAAGGAAAAGUCAACAAUUUUCAACAAGAUAAAAAGCGUUUCUUUGCAAAAAGAUUCAGUGCUCUUCCCAGAUAUUCAACCCACUAUAGUAAGGCAAAUGAGGAGAAAAAAAUGAAACGACUGAAGACCCGCAAGGAGAGGAGUCAAAUAAGAGGUGGCUGGAAAGAGACUUCAAAGAUCAAGUCAAAUCACCAUCAUCAUCACCAUCGCCAUCGCCAAAGCAACUUAGAUAUGGCACAUUUGCAUAACUGCUGUCAUGCUAGUUGUCAUUGUUCUUCAAGGAGAAAUCCACCAUUUCCAAGUAUUGUUCCCUCUGUGCAGGAGCCCAGUAUCAUCACAGACGGCCGCCUGACAGGACACCAUGGCCUGUUUAACCAUGAGGUGAAGUCUAUUGAUUUUGAACGCUUGCUAAGUGAACAGCCAAAACUGGAGGAACAAAGAAAAGAAAAGAACACUGUAAUUUCACAUUCAUCUUCAGCAUUGCACAAUUCUGCUCCAAUGUCCACUGAUGGUUUGUUGGGAGCUGAUACAGAUGUUGGGAGCUGUGUGCCAUUCAGAAAAAAUACAGACCCUGCUUCAAAAGACCACACUGACUGCCAAGAGAAAGAAAAGAAAAACAUGCAGUUUGAUUCAAAGCAAUCAGAUGUCACAACAGAGGAGAAACCACAACAACAACUCGCUCUUUCAUGUGAAAGUUUUCAAAGCAGCCACUCGUCUAAACACAGCUUCCUCGAUGUACUAACAACAGAAACCAAGUGGACAUGUGUCGUGUCUGAAAACAGCAGAGAAUCACUGCUGACUCCAGUUGUUGACAGAGACAAUAUAAAGACUUUCAACACAAAUGUAAAAGAACGUGUGAUUUCUACUCUUGUGCAAACCCCAACUCUCAGUUCAGCCAACAGCUGUGAGAUACAGGACAGAACGCAAGAUCCAAAGUAUGUAAUGAAGUUUGUCAGUGCAGUGGCAGCACGUUUGUGUCACCAUCUGAAGCUUCCGUCAAUGAGCAGGAGAGACGUGCUGUCAGAGAGCAGGGAGGUUCUGUUGAACUCUCUGAGGAAAAGGCAUGGACCGUGGCUUCAAGAGAACCUCCUUAGACUUCAGCAACAUCGUAGCUUUGCUGUGCAUCCCACAAAGAAAGCCCAAGAUCAUGAUCAAGAGCCAACCAGGAAAAAUGAAGAGGAUCUCUUUGCUGCAGAUACCUCUUUUAAUAUGCCAGCAAAUAGACAUGCCAGCUGGAAGACCAGUCCACAGCCACACUGCAGUCAAAAACAGUUCACCAUCAGAGCAAUCAUUUCCAAUCUUCGAGCCAGUUCAGUCACCCUUCAGCUUGUUCUCCUCUGAAGUCCCAGCACACUGAUAUGAUGCACUACCCUCCGUCAUUCAUUCUUGAGAGAGACCCUGCACCUUCCCUUUCUGCUUUCCUGAGCCCUGAGCAAUGGUCCUUCCCUCCUAUGAGACUGUACUAAUGUGUGGUAAAGCUCUCCAUAGAGGCAUGGCUAUCAAUAUUUCUAUGACUGAUUAAAGUACAAUUGUCCUUUAAUUUAUGCACUUCAAGGUUUUUGUUUAGUCAGUGAUAAACACGUUAUGUUCCCAUAUUAAUAUAACCAUAGCAUUAAGCAUAGAUGCAAUAGCUAUCCACUGAAGAGUAGCCUGUCUUCUUCUAUUGUCCUGUUUUUGCUGAGUUAAGUAGCCAUGCAAUUAUGCAUCAUUUUCAACCUUUUGAAGCAUUUAUGUUUAUUUUUGACUUCUGUACAAUUAAAAACACAGAUGUUAUAAUGGAAUAUUAUUUGUUUGUGAAAGUUGUGCAUCCCUUUAAAU
rnacentral:lncRNA from 1 species